rnacentral:rRNA from 1 species
UGUAAGUCGAGCGAUUCUGCUAGCAAUAGCAGAAGAGCGGCGGAAGGGUGAGUAACACGUAGGAGACCUACCUCAUCGCAGGGAACAACUUCGCGAAAGCGGAGCUAAUACCCAGAAGGCUGGCACCUUCAGUGGUGCGAGGAGAGUGUGCCCGCAAGGGUACGCGUGAUGAGCGGGUCCUGCGGCCCAUCAGCUGGUUGGUAGGGUAGUGGCCUACCAAGGCAACGACGGGUAGGGGGUCUGAGAGGACGAUCCCCCACACUGGAACUGAAACACGGUCCAGACGCCUACGGGUGGCAGCAGGGAGGAAUAUUGCACAAUGGGCGCAAGCCUGAUGCAGCAACGCCGCGUGAAGGAUGACGGCCUUCGGGUCGUAAACUUCUUUUGAGGGAGACGAGCAAGGACGGUAUCCCUCGAAUCAGCCACGGCUAACUACGUGCCAGCAGCCGCGGUAAAACGUAGGUGGCGAGCGUUAUCCGGAUUCAUUGGGCGUAAAGAGCUUGUAGGUGGCUGGAUAAGUUGGACGUGAAAGCUCCGGGCUUAACUUGGAGAGGCCGUUCAAUACUGUCGAGCUAGAGGGUGUCAGAGGGAAGUAGAAUGCCUGGUGUAGCAGUGAAAUGCGUAGAUAUCAGGCGGAAUACCCGUGGCGCAGGCGGCUUCCUGGGGCACACCUGACACUGAGAAGCGACAGCUAGGGGAGCAAACGGGAUUAGAAACCCCGGUAGUCCUAGCCGUAAACGAUGGAUGCUAGGUGUGAGCAGAUCUAACCCUGCUCGUG